rnacentral:rRNA from 1 species
UACGUAGGGUGCAAGCGUUGUCCGGAAUUAUUGGGCGUAAAGCGUGUGUAGGCGGUCCACUAAGUCGGAUGUGAAAGCCCUGGGCUCAACCCAGGAAGUGCACUCGAAACUGGCGGGCUAGAGUAUCGGAGAGGUUGGUGGAAUUCUCGGUGUAGAGGUGAAAUUCGUAGAUAUCGAGAGGAACACCGGUGGCGAAGGCGGCUCACUGGACCGGUACUGACGCUGAGGCGCGAAAGCGUGGGGAGCAAACGGG